UACAGCGUUGGGAGUACGUGACAGUCAGGUUAUGUGGUCUCCACAGCGCUAGAGUACGUGACAGUCAGGGGUUAUGUGGUCUCACAGCGUGGGAGUACGUGACAUCAGGGUAUUGUCUCAACUAGCGGUAGUUGACAGUCGGGUAUGUGGUCUCACAGCGUUGGAGUACGUGACAGUCAGGUUAUUGUGGUCUCCACAGCGUUGGCAGUACGUGACAGUCAGGGUAUGUGGUCUCACAGCCUUGGGAGUACGUGACAGUCAGGAUAUGGGGUCUCACAGCGUUGGGAGUACGUGACUGUCGGGUAUGGGUUCAACAGCGUAGAGGUACGUGACAGUCAGGGUAUGUG
rnacentral:lncRNA from 1 species